rnacentral:rRNA from 1 species
GACGGGGCCCCGCACAAGCAGCGGAGCGUGUGGUUUAAUUCGAUGCUACACGAAGAACCUUACCAGGGUUUGACAUACAAGUAGUAGGGAAAGGAAACUGGACCGACCCUUCGGGGAGCUUGAACAGGUGCUGCAUGGCUGUCGUCAGCUCGUGUCGUGAGAUGUUCGGUUAAGUCCGCUAACGAGCGCAACCCUCGCCGUGUGUUACAAGUGUCACACGGAACUGCCGGUCAUAAACCGGAGGAAGGUGGGGAUGACGUCAAGUCAGCAUGGCCUUUAUAUCCUGGGCUACACACACGCUACAAUGGGAAGGGACAAUAGGUUGCGAAACCGCGAGGUGGAGCCAAUCCAGCAAAACUUCCCUCAGUUCAGAUUGCAGGCUGCAACUCGCCUGCAUGAAGUUGGAGUUGCUAGUAAACGCAGGUCAGCCAUACUGCGUUGAAUACGUUCCCGGGGCUU